AUUGAACGCUGGCGGCAUGCUUUACACAUGCAAGUCGAACGGUAACAGGCCGCAAGGUGCUGACGAGUGGCGAACGGGUGAGUAAUGCAUCGGAACGUGCCCAGUCGUGGGGGAUAACGCAGCGAAAGCUGCGCUAAUACCGCAUACGAUCUAUGGAUGAAAGCGGGGGACCGUAAGGCCUCGCGCGAUUGGAGCGGCCGAUGUCAGAUUAGGUAGUUGGUGGGGUAAAGGCUCACCAAGCCAACGAUCUGUAGCUGGUCUGAGAGGACGACCAGCCACACUGGGACUGAGACACGGCCCAGACUCCUACGGGAGGCAGCAGUGGGGAAUUUUGGACAAUGGGCGCAAGCCUGAUCCAGCAAUGCCGCGUGCAGGAAGAAGGCCUUCGGGUUGUAAACUGCUUUUGUACGGAACGAAACGGUCCUGGUUAAUACCUGGGGCUAAUGACGGUACCGUAAGAAUAAGCACCGGCUAACUACGUGCCAGCAGCCGCCGUAAUAC
rnacentral:rRNA from 1 species